GUUAAAGAAGUUUUAAUAAUUGUCUUUUCAUCGGAUAUUAGAAAUACAACUUACAUGUAAGUUAAUAAUUCUUGACCGUGAUCCAAUCAAAAUAUUAAAUUCUUCUUUAAUCUUUACAAUUUUAUCUUAAAUAAAAAUAAAACAUCCAUAAAACAAAUACAAACACACCCAUACACUUUCACUAUAUUUUCUUUUUCUUUUCCUUUCCUUUUCUUUUUUUGUUUUUUACAUACACAAUUUUUACAUGUAAAACAAAUAACAAAAAUUCAAAAUAAAUCAAAUACAAUAAUAUCUAAAUAUACACAUCAUCUGAAAGUUACAACAAAAACACAAAGAAAUCCUCGGGAACAGUGCUGCACAGCCUUGGUGUCGUCUGAACAGCGGCGGCGCGUGGGUCCACGCGCCGCCGGCAGCGAAGACCAGCAUGCUGGUGGAUCGGGAUCGUCUCCUUCUUCUCUUCCCUUCCCUGCCGGCUGGGAGGAACACCACUACCUGCAAUAACAGAAAACGCACAACACAGUCGAUUUUAGUUUUUAUUUCAUUUGUUUUUGAAAUCUGCUUCGGCUUCUUUUCUUCCUCUUUCAGAUCUGCUCCGCUACUCUGCCUCCUCCCUUCUCUGUUUCAGGCGGGUCGGUUUGUUAUGGGUUUGUCUUCGACGGCUGUGCAGCUGCUGAUGGGGAAGGGAUGUUGUGGUGUUCGGCUAUGAGAGGAGAUGGCUGGUGCUGAGUGCAGCCAAGAGAAGGAAGUGGAUGGCUGCUGUGGUGAGGGAGACCGUGGGUCUGAGGAGACGGGGAACGGCUCUGUUGGAGGUGGAAGGAGAGCGGUUGCUGUUGUGAUCGGGUCUGUUCGUUGACCCGGAGAGGGAGGCCGAUGGGUCGGCUGAGAGAGGAGAGGAGUCUGGUGAGGGGAGGAGAUGGUCGUGUCUGUUGGCGUGCGGCUGGAGAUGGGCUGCUGCUGGCCGGUCUUCACUCCUCUUGGCAGAUCCGGCGGGUGUUGAUGCUGGUGCUGUUGCUGAGGGAAGGAAAUGCUGGAGGCGACUGUUCACGGUGGUUGUGAAGGGGGGAGUUGUGGUCGGGUCUGUAUGGGUCUAGGAGGGCAAAGGGAGCUGCUGAGAGGGAGGAUCUGUGGAGAGAAAAAGAGAGAAGGCAGUGUUUUGGGGCUGCUGGAGACGAUGGGGCAGGUUGAGGGAGAAGACAAAAAAAUCAAAAACAAGGGGGGGGGUGGCUCCAAGGCUGGCGGCCAGAAAUGAAGAAGAGGGACAGAUCAGGGGGGAGAGAAGGAAAAUGGAGAGGCUUUGGUCGGGUGUGUGUUGGUCUGUGAGGGGGAUAACAGUGGAGAGGGGAAGGAAACGGUAGAACCAGCCGGGUCAGCAAAAGGAAGGCCACCGGGGGGGGCUGUGUGCAGAGAAGAUAAAAUUUCUCUAGUGGGUGGCGGCGGCUGGGUGUGAAAGAGAUAGGUUUAGGGUUUCUCUUCCCUUUUUUUAUUUGUCAAAAUUGCCCCCCCCCUCUUGAAAAAAAUCAGUGUAGCUUGGUAUUUAUAGGAAAAGUUUUGCUAGGUUUUCAAACUAGUCCCUCAACUUUUCCUUUCCUUCUCUUUUCCUCUUUUUUUGUAAAUUUUGAUUUUUUUUUUUAUUUUUUUGUAUUUUUGAAAGCGAG
rnacentral:lncRNA from 1 species